ACGAACGCUGGAGGCGUGCUUAACACAUGCAAGUCGUACGGUAAGGCCCUUUCGGGGGUACACGAGUGGCGAACGGGUGAGUAACACGUGAGUAACCUGCCCACAACUUUGGGAUAACGCUAGGAAACUGGUGCUAAUACUGGAUAUGUGCUCCUGCUGCAUGGUGGGGGUUGGAAAGCUCCGGCGGUUGUGGAUGGACUCGCGGCCUAUCAGCUUGUUGGUGGGGUAGUGGCCUACCAAGGCGGCGACGGGUAGCCGGCCUGAGAGGGUGACCGGCCACAUUGGGACUGAGAUACGGCCCAGACUCCUACGGGAGGCAGCAGUGGGGAAUAUUGCACAAUGGGCGCAAGCCUGAUGCAGCAACGCCGCGUGCGGGAUGACGGCCUUCGGGUUGUAAACCGCUUUCAGCAGGGACGAAGCUUUUUGUGACGGUACCUGCAGAAGAAGCACCGGCUAACUACGUG
rnacentral:rRNA from 1 species